GACGAACGCUGGCGGCGUGCCUAAUACAUGCAAGUCGAGCGAUGAUUAAAGAUAGCUUGCUAUUUUUAUGAAGAGCGGCGAACGGGUGAGUAACGCGUGGGAAAUCUGCCGAGUAGCGGGGGACAACGUUUGGAAACGAACGCUAAUACCGCAUAACAAUGAGAAUCGCAUGAUUCUUAUUUAAAAGAAGCAAUUGCUUCACUACUUGAUGAUCCCGCGUUGUAUUAGCUAGUUGGUAGUGUAAAGGACUACCAAGGCGAUGAUACAUAGCCGACCUGAGAGGGUGAUCGGCCACACUGGGACUGGGACACGGCCCAGACUCCUACGGGAGGCAGCAGUAGGGAAUCUUCGGCAAUGGGGGCAACCCUGACCGAGCAACGCCGCGUGAGUGAAGAAGGUUUUUGGAUCGUAAAACUCUGCUGUUAGAGAAGAACGUUAAGUAGAGUGGAAAAUUACUUAAGUGACGGUAUCUAACCAGAAAGGGACGGCUAACUACGUGCCAGCAGCCGCCGCGG
rnacentral:rRNA from 1 species